AUCCAUUGAAAUUGUCUUAGGAAAAACACAUUAGGCUAAACCAGUACAGUCAAAAAACUUAUGAGCAAAUGGGUGAAGAGAGAAUUUCAAAAUGUAACACCACCGUGAGAUGAUAUUCUACUGUUUUAUUCAUAAACUUGUCUUGCAUGCCAGUCUUCCCUCACCAAGAAAACAAGGAUCUUCAAAAGAGACCAACUGCCAUAAUCCAUAAAAACCCGACAUCACAACUUAAUGAAGGCACGAGUAUGCCAGAGUCUUCUCCUCA
rnacentral:misc_RNA from 1 species